GUGAGGAGUCUACUUCUGCACUGGCUUGAUAAUAGUUGAGGGAUAUUUCAAACAUCAGGCUUAUAUUCUCCCGGCUUUAUCAAGCCCAUUUUAUGUGGAAGCUUGUUUCCGCCACAGAAUGAAAAAUAAAAAAGAUGUGAGGCGAGCGAGUGAGUGAGGGCGUUAACACACACGCUGGCGUAACGGCGGUGAAUAUAGUAGCCCUCGCUGCCAGUAAACAAGCCUCUCCCAGCAUCCCGCUGUAAAGUACACUAUCUUCCUCACUGGGUUGCCAUGGAAACCGGGAAGGAACAGAAUUCGCUUGAAAGUGUGACGAAAUGGCUGCGAGACAGACGGGUCACGGUGGACAGAGCGACGUCAAGUGGCCUUACCCACAAACAUUUGGGCUGAUUCAGUUGUGCAUGCUUACAGACUGGAUAUAUAUACGUAUAUAUAUAUAUAUAUAUAUAUAUAUAAAUCAUUAUAAUCAGCAUUUUAGAAUGAUUCCUGAAGGGUCAUGUGACUGAAAAUGGGGCAAUGAUGCUGAAAAUUAAGCUUUGUAAAGUUAAGUAUGGGUUAGAAUGGACAGAAAAUAUGGGCCUCGUUCGUAAAAGAUAAUUAUUAAUCUCACUGAACGACAUGGAUCUAAUAAACUUGUGUAUGACCUGUGUAUGAUCAAGACCUGUAUUGAAUCAUAGGCUACGACACAAUAAAAAAUCAUCAGUA